rnacentral:ncRNA from 2 species
CGGAAGAGUGGACAUGAUGAUCCCUGCUCGUCACGUGGGCACAUAAGAGCUGGGGGAGUGAGUUGUGCAACCGGCCACCUGUUUA